rnacentral:tRNA from 1 species
UGCCCAAUGCGGGAAUCGAACCCGGGUCGUAUCGGUCGAAAACCAACGGUGUAGACCAUCCUUCCACCGAC